UACGUAGGGUGCGAGCGUUGUCCGGAAUUACUGGGCGUAAAGGGCUCGUAGGCGGCCAACUAAGUCGGAUGUGAAAUCCCCAGGCUUAACCUGGGAACUGCAUCCGAUACUGGAUGGCUUGAAUCCGGGAGAGGGAUGCGGAAUUCCAGGUGUAGCGGUGAAAUGCGUAGAUAUCUGGAGGAACACCGGUGGCGAAGGCGGCAUCCUGGACCGGCAUUGACGCUGAGGAGCGAAAGCCAGGGGAGCAAACGGG
rnacentral:rRNA from 1 species